CACUAACUGACCCCCAGCACAGACCCUCCUGGCCAGGGCCAGCAGACACAGACUAGGGGCUGGACUGCAGCUGGAUGGCCCUGGCCCUGGGUCCUGGUGCAGCUUCUUGGAGAUUUUACUCCUUGUCUUAGGGAAGAAAGGAACAGAGAGGGACUGGUCGGCAGCACCCCUCCAGGUGUGGGCAGGCCCAAGGCGCUCGGCGGAGUUGGCUGUCUUCUGGGCGAGGAGGCACUGAACGAGCAGUUAUCCCUGGAUAGGCACCCUUUCUUAGCCUGAGGAGCCAGGCUGCAAGUGUGCCCUCAGCCCCUCCCCCGUGUCCACUGGGGAGACCCUGUCCCAUUUGCCUCCACACUCCUGCCCCACUGCCCAAGGUUGGGCUUCAAGCUCCUCCAGUGUAGUUCUUCCUCCAGCGGUACCCUUAACCUCUGGGCUUCCAUGAUGUCCUCAGGGACCCUUCCUGCUAUUUCUAACCUCUGGCCCCAGUGCCUGGCAGCUCUCCAGAGCUGGCUAACAUUUUCCAAAAAAUAAUAAUAAAAGAAAAGGAAUGAAAGAGUUGACCAACUCAAGGGGUCACCAACCCUUAUCCCU
rnacentral:lncRNA from 1 species